ensembl:lncRNA
CAGACUACAGUUUUGUCAGUUGGAAUAUGUCCUCUUUUAUGUCCUCUCUCUCAGGUAGGAUAACAAUUUGAAUAUGUCCUCUUAACUCUCUCUCUCUCAGGUAGGAAAACAGUUGGAAUAUGUCCUCUUAACUCUCUCUCUCAGGUAGGAUAACAAUUGGAAUAUGUCCUCUUUUAACUCUCUCUCUCAGGUAGGAUAACAAUUGGAAUAUGUCCUCUUUUAACUCUCUCUCUCAGGUAGGAUAACAAUUGGAAUAUGUCCUCUUUUAACUCUCUCUCUCAGGUAGGAUAACAAUUGGAAUAUGUCCUCUUUUAACUCUCUCUCUCAG